rnacentral:rRNA from 1 species
AUUGAACGCUGGCGGCAGGCCUAACACAUGCAAGUCGAGCGGAUGAAGGGAGCUUGCUCCUGGAUUCAGCGGCGGACGGGUGAGUAAUGCCUAGGAAUCUGCCUGGUAGUGGGGGAUAACGUCCGGAAACGGGCGCUAAUACCGCAUACGUCCUUAGGGAGAAAGUGGGGGAUCUUCGGACCUCACGCUAUCAGAUGAGCCUAGGUCGGAUUAGCUAGUUGGUGGGGUAAAGGCCUACCAAGGCGACGAUCCGUAACUGGUCUGAGAGGACGAUCAGUCACACUGGAACUGAGACACGGUCCAGACUCCUACGGGAGGCAGCAGUGGGGAAUAUUGGACAAUGGGCGAAAGCCUGAUCCAGCCAUGCCGCGUGAGUGAAGAAGGUCUUCGGAUUGUAAAGCACUUUAAGUAGGGAGGAAGAGAAGUAAAUUAAUACCUUGCUGUUUUGACGUUACCAACAGAAUAAGCACCGGCUAACUUCGUG